UGGGGAAUAUUGGACAAUGGGCGAAAGCCUGAUCCAGCCAUGCCGCGUGAGUGAUGAAGGCCCUAGGGUUGUAAAGCUCUUUUGUGCGGGAAGAUAAUGACGGUACCGCAAGAAUAAGCCCCGGCUAACUUCGUGCCAGCAGCCGCGGUAAUACGAAGGGGGCUAGCGUUGCUCGGAAUCACUGGGCGUAAAGGGUGCGUAGGCGGGUUUCUAAGUCAGAGGUGAAAGCCUGGAGCUCAACUCCAGAACUGCCUUUGAUACUGGAAGUCUUGAGUUCGGGAGAGGUGAGUGGAACUGCGAGUUGAGAGGUGAAAUUCGUAGAUAUUCGCAAGAACACCAGUGGCGAAGGCGGCUCACUGACCCGAUACUGACGCUGAGGCACGAAAGCGUGGGGAGCAAACA
rnacentral:rRNA from 1 species